CAAAAGCCCAGAGAUAAGAGGAAAGGUAAGUCAGUCAAUGGACAUGAGUUUGAGCAAACUCUGGGAGACGGUGAAGGACAGGGAAGCCUGGCGCACUGCAGUCCAGAGAGCAAGACUCGAUUGAGCAACUAGAAAACAGCAAAGUCAUUCAAAGGCUGAAAGCACCUUCGAUGGGAAUAGAGGUCAAAACAGGAAGAAGCGAGAGGUAAGGCUGGGAGCUGGGCAGAGCAUUGGAAGCCGUGCAGAGAAAGUCUGACUAUGUUUCAAGUAACUGAGAACCACUGCAGAACAUUAGCGGAGGAGUCAACACGCUCUUUAAGAAAACCCAUUCCAGCGCCAGCAUGGAGGUCGGACCGGAAAAGGCGUUGCAGAGAGUGACUACUGUCAUUUUGCAGAAGUGACGGCAGAUUGGAUCCGGAGUUCUGGAAGCUGGAAAAUCCAAGGUCAAGGCAUCAGCAGAUUUGGUGUCUGGUGAGAGCUGCUGGAGAAACUGAG
ensembl:lncRNA